AAAAAACUGGUUGUCUGGUUCCCACUGAUUGUGUUGAUUUCACUUCAUUGUACUUCACACACGCCUGCGAUCAAGCAUAACGCCCCUGGACUCUCAUUCUUCCUUUGACUUUCUUCCAGUACAAAAGCAGCCAUGGAAGGAUUCCUCAGGUGUUCAUGUUUU